rnacentral:tRNA from 1 species
UCCGAAUUGGUGUAGUGGCUAACAUUUGACGCUCUCAAUAUAUUGUGUACCGUCAAGCCCGGGGUUCGAUUCCCCGAUUCGGAG